AGAGAAGAAAGAUGUCCCCUCUCCCCGACCUCUCAUCUCUCUCCCACGAUGUGUGCACCGCCGCCAGGUCCGUUGCUCAUCUGGUUAAUCCCGACGGGCAUAUUUUCUUUCUGCCCUACCUCAGCAGACCUCCUCCCCUGAGCGCUCCCCUCCCUCAGGAGACCUCCUCCCCGACCUCUCGUUUUCUCUACCGACGGCCGAACUGGUGGUGUACCGCCGCCGUCGCGGCGCUGAAGCCGGCGAGAUCCUGCGUCCCCAUCGUGACCCGGAUUCCCUAUGCCACCAGUACGCCGGACACCUCAAGAUUCGUAUGUGGAAGGAGGUGCAUGGGAGAAAAGAUGCCAGAGUUGCGUAGUGGAGUGUGAUAAUAUAUUCAAGUCAAGGAAAGUUGUGUUGACCAACACGAUUAUCCAUCACGUCCAGCGGGAACGCUGCAAGAAUCAUGGCCCCCAUGUGUGCUAUUGUCCAACACAGCCGCUGCCCUUUCACACUACCUCCACGCCGGUUGUAUUUUCCCUACAGGUACAGCUCGCUUCUCUCCUGCAAUAUGACUAGGCUGGAGCUGGGUGUCAUGGCUUCAGAGGCGUCAACAUUGACAGCAGGAAUGGAUGCAUUAGUGUCUGCAAUUUAUUCCGAGGAGAAAUCACAUCCAGAGAAAAAACAAGAAUGAGUUGUCUAACCCGGUUAGCUAUCCACCUAUGUAUUUUUCUUUUUAUUCUAUGUAUUCAUUACUCAUUUCAGUCACUCUUCAUCUCUUGAAAUUAUUAUAGAAACAAAUAUCUUUUUCGGCUGUUGUGUGCAAAUCAUAUUUGAAGUUUCCAUGCACAACGAGGAUGAUUAUGUGCCUCUUUUAAGUCGUCCACGGUCAGAUUCAUUCUUGUCUUGGCUCUAACUUGGGCAAAAACUGGAAUAUCCUCUUUGGGAAUGAUGUUAGUUAGAAACUCAAUAUUAAUUUUGUACUUUAAGAAAGAGUCAAGUUUGUUAUGUAGCAUUAUAUUUGGCUCAGAUAGUUCUUGGAUGCCUUCCACGGGUCGAUGGGACGUUUUGCUCACCUUGCAAAAGUAAAGCAAUGAAGAAAUUUGUAAGGUGGGAACACUCAAAAUCUCACAGAGACUGGAUGCAUACUUUCAUCAGUUGAACCAAUUACUCAUGGAAGGAACAAAAGAUCCAAGCUAGGAAGGCAUUUUUCAAACGCACAAGCAUAAGUCAUGGAAUAAUUGCUAUUGGUGGUUACAAAAUUCAUGUAUGUCGAUGUGAUGUCUAUGAAAGAUGUUAAAUCUGCUUGAUGUAUAUGUCUAAUCUUUAUGUUGGCGAACAGGUGGAUGUUGACUACAUUAACAUUUCCUUGUGUUGCCUUAUUAGUGUAUGCCAAAAAAUGCAAAUCAUGUGGAAAUGCAAGAACAUGAGCUUCUGUUCUUUGCUUUCCUUUUGGUUGCACAAGCUUGAUGUUAUUAUCUCUCACAUAA